GGUGUCAUAUGGUGUAGUUGGUUUAUCCCUUCUGUCUAACACUUUCGCUGGUACACAGGCGAUCCUCGGUCCGAGCCCGGGUCGAAUCA